CUUUGAACUGCGAAUGGCUCAUUAUAUCAGUUAUAGUUUAUUUGAUGAAGAAUACUAAUUGGAUAACCGUAGUAAUUCUAGAGCUAAUACAUGUAUAAAGUCUUGUAGACUGCAUUUAUUAGAAUGAAAACCAUAGGUUUCGGCCUAUUCGUGAGUAAUAAUAACUAAUCAUAUCGUAUGCUUAUGUAACGAUGUGUCUUUCAAGUUUCUGCCCUAUCAGCUUUCGAUGGUAGUGUAUUGGACUACCAUGGCAGUAACGGGUAACGAAGAA
rnacentral:rRNA from 1 species